rnacentral:sRNA from 1 species
AUGUACCACUUCGUACACUGCGGUUCCUGCGUUCCGGCGGCCACCACCAGCCACCCGCUCGCGACGCACUGGAGCGACUUCC